UCAUUUUUUGGUCAACCGUAAUGUUGUAAAGACGAAGAGACAAAUUCAAAAUUUUUGUUUGGCCAAAAACAUCAAAAUUUAUGUUAAUUUGCGUAUAAAUUAUUAGUAACGAUGGGGAAGUUUAAAAUGCCUACAGUUCAAGAGUUCCUAGAAAAAAAGUUACUGUAUGAUACUAAGAAGGAUCCGGUAUGGGUCUAUUUGGAAAGAGAAAUGUUAGCUAAUGUGAAUAAGAAACCAUACAACGCAAAGGUGGGAGCGUGGCUUAAGUUCUUAAAAGAUUUGAGAUAUCACUAUUUCUGUGAAGAAAGGAGGCAUAUGAGGAUACUGAGUAAUGAAGCUGGUCCGCCCUGGUACGUCGAGCUAUCAGUAGCUCAAAGGGAAGUUCUAGACAGUUUGAAAUUCAAUAUCCAUCAGGACUUACUGGAAGACUUACCAACUCGUACUCGAAAAGCUUUGUCUGAUCUUGGUAUAACCGUAAAGAUUCCAAUGAAGAUGCUUAUGAAAGCUAUGACAGAGAGUGUUGAAGACGCCGGUAUUUUCAUUUGGAAUCUUUAUACUGCGUAUUACAAAAGCCCACCGAGCGAGCCGAGAUCGACAUACAGCAUGAAUGCAAUGAUAAUGAUGUCAUCUUUAGUUUUCAUUGACCUGGACGAAUGUAUUGAAAGACUGAGCGAUCUAGUCAAAUUGAAAAAACCUCCGCCGCCACGACCACCAAAACCACCAAAGAAGAACUUCACGCCAGAUUGUCGUUAUGGUUUAUAUUUACAGAAAAAUUAUGCACCAUUUUAUUGUUUGCACCCUUCUGAGAAAAAAAAGAAGCGUAAACAUCCGGAGCUUGCCUACAAAUUUCGAUUAAGAAGCGAAGCGAGUUACUCGGUGUUAUGCAAGGAUCACUCUUUUCUGCAAAAGCGGAAAGAGAGAAAUAAAAAAGAACAACAACAGGAGCGAGUAUGUAAUUACAAGUUCUGGGAACCUCCCAGUACAUUACGAAAUACUGAUCCGAAGAUGGUAGCUUAUGUAAACAAGUUGAAAAUGCUUAAAUUAAAAGCGAAACCAAAAUACAAAACCCCGUAUAAGAACGUAGCGUACCACGUUACUGGUGUAUCUUUCUCUGGCGGGAAACCAAACUUCGUUGUUCAAAACGUUACCGUUCUACCAACGGGUUAUAUUCCUAUCAACGCCGGCAUUGUUUGCGUCGGCACUGAGUUUGUAACUACCAUACAUGGUAUGUGGAAAUUCCCAAGAGAGGUCAAGAAUAAGUGUGACAAGAAGUGUGAUUGUCUAGCGAAAUGGGAAAAGCCCGUUAUGGAGUACGUACAAGAGUCGAAAUGUUUAUGCGGACAUCUAUAUGAUUACCACCUGGAAGGAAAAGCAAAGGAGAAGUAUUUUUAUCAGGCAACGAGACAUGGUCCCGUUUGGGUCGAUAAAGCCAAGGUUUUCCAACUAGACCCGAAAGAAGACUUUAUCAAAGAAACAGUAAGGCUGGCCGUUCAGUCUAAGGAUCCAACGCCAGUACCAUCACAGCCCACGAUAUCUGCUUCCGGUCUAAAACUAAAGGAACUCUUGGCUGCGUUUCUAGCUGAUCUUUCUGACUCUCCUCUGAUCAUCCCACACUUGCCUCAAGCAAACAUGUUAAACAACCUACAAGAGUGGGUGAGGAGACGAGUCAAUGGUAACCUCGCGCCAGAAAAGCACAAGCAAAUGAAGUUGCAAUCACUACGGAGGUGGUUGUAUUUGAGACACCUGGACUUCAAAGCGCGAGCUGGCAGGAUUCCAUUCACUAUGAAACAGCUUGAACACAUGGAUUGGUCAUAUCGCGACUUCGUGCAAAGUUUGUUCAUAUCUUUAAUGAAUGACUUCGAAGUCAGAAAUAGAUUGAAACAACUUCACCAAACACGCCUUUGGUGGCCCACAAUGAAAUAUGAUCCUUAUCCCAACAAAGCUUUUCUAGAUGUAUUUUUCACAUACAUGCCUGGAAGAAUGAAGGAUACAUUUGUAGUAAAUCCAUACAGUUCAGAAAACACACCCAAAUAUGGAGCUAAAACGUGCCCCCUGCGUUUUUAGAGGAUCUUUAUGACUCUCCUCUGAUCAUCCAAACAUGCUAAACUACCUACAGAAGUGGGUGAGGAGAAGAUUCUUCAAGAGAGAGAGGAGAAGCCUCGCGUCUAACAGCACAGCUCGUGCUCGAGUAACAGAGAGUUGAGAAUGUGUUGCGACUCACAUAGAUGACAUUGAUUGAUUAAUUGACGCUCCGUUGGAUGUGUGACCCUCGCACAUUCGCGGCAAUCUUCAUGUCUAUGACAUAGCAGACAAACUGCAGGAGUGUCGCUUGUGAUGGUACGGCUUGUGAUCUUGCGCAAACCGCCAAAUUACAUUUGGAAAAAAUGCCUUGCCAUGCUUCUGCCAGGGCCAGACGGAAACAGCACAUUCCCCUUCCCUUAGGCAGAAGGAGCAAACCCGGUAAUCCCACAUAAAUGAAAUUAAACUUGUUUAUUCGUUUUUAUUGUUUUUUCAGAGACUUAUUUUUCACAUACGUAAAUGCCUUGAAGGUCACAAUCGUAGUACCUAAGCCCUUACAGAUUAGUAGAACUUACACCAAAGUAAGGAAGUAAAACAUGUCCCCUGUAAACGGUAUUUUUUAUUAAGUAUCUGUAUUACCUGUUUAGUUCAAAUAAGAUUAGAUUUAUAUGUUUGAGACUGGUUGUUCCUGUGAUUUUCAGUUUUGUUUUGGUCCAUUGAUUUUGUAUUCGGUAAGUAAGGUACUAUUUAUAAGAAUUUUAUUUUCUAUUUGUAUUUAUUUUAGACCGUAUAAAUCUUGCAAAAUAAAAAUAAAAUUUUUAUUGUAUAAACUGUUAACAAUGUAACCUUGUAAGUACAUAGUGGUUAAUAUUUUUAUAUGCGUGUGAUAAAAACGUUCAUGUCAUUUAGUUCGAAAUACAUAAAUUGUGUAAGGAUAUCAUAAAAAAUUUGUCAAGAAAUAGUCAACAUUCGAACUCAAAAGAAAAUAAUUCUUAAAAAAGGGCUAAGUAAUAAAUGUAUCUAUUAUCAAAGUUG